rnacentral:rRNA from 1 species
AAUGAACGCUGGCGGCAGGCCUAAAACAUGCAAGUCGAGCGCCCUAGCAAUAGGGAGCGGCGCACGGGUGAGUAACACGUGGGAAUAUGCCUUUUGGUACGGAACAACCUCGGGAAACUGAGGCUAAUACCGUAUGGUCCCUUCGGGGUAAAGAUUUAUCGCCAAAAGAGUAGCCCGCGUUGGAUUAGCUAGUUGGUAAGGUAACGGCUUACCAAGGCGACGAUCCAUAGCUGGUCUGAGAGGACGAUCAGCCACACUGGGACUGAGACACGGCCCAGACUCCUACGGGAGGCAGCAGUUAGGAAUAUUGGACAAUGGGCGCAAGCCUGAUCCAGCCAUGCCGCGUGAGUGAUGAAGGCCUUC